CAAUUAUUCAAUUUUUGAUGAAAUCAAACAAAGUUCAAUUUUGGACCCUUUGGGCCCCUUAUUCCUAAACUGUUGGGACCAAAACUCCCAAAAUCAAUCCCAACCUUCCUUUUGUGGUCAUAAACCUUGUGUCAAAAUUUCAUAGAUUUCAAUUUACUUAAACAAGUUAUAGUGCGAAAACCAAGAAAAUGCUUAUUUGGGCCCUUUUUGGCCCUUAAUUCCUAAAAUGUUGGGACCAAAACUCUUAAAAUCAAUCCCAACCUUCCUUUUGUGGUCAUAAACCUUGAAGAAAAAUUGUUAAAAAUUGACUAUAAAAUGCAUUAACUCGUUAAAAGGGGUCAACUGACCAUUUUGAUCAUAACUUAU
rnacentral:lncRNA from 1 species